rnacentral:rRNA from 1 species
UACGUAGGUGGCAAGCGUCAUCCGGAUUUAUUGGGCGUAAAGAGAACGCAGGCGGUCUUUUAAGUCUGAUGUGAAAGCCUUCGGCUUAACCGGAGUAGUGCAUUGGAAACUGGGAGACUUGAGUGCAGAAGAGGAGAGUGGAACUCCAUGUGUAGCGGUGAAAUGCGUAGAUAUAUGGAAGAACACCAGUGGCGAAAGCGGCUCUCUGGUCUGUAACUGACGCUGAGGUUCGAAAGCGUGGGUAGCAAACAGG